rnacentral:rRNA from 1 species
CCUACGGGAGGCUGCAGUGGGGAAUAUUGCACAAUGGGCGCAAGCCUGAUGCAGCCAUGCCGCGUGUGUGAAGAAGGCCUUCGGGUUGUAAAGCACUUUCAGCGGGGAGGAAGGCGGUGAGGUUAAUAACCUCAUCGAUUGACGUUACCCGCAGAAGAAGCACCGGCUAGCUCCGUGCCAGCAGCCGCGGUAAUACGGAGGGUGCAAGCGUUAAUCGGAAUUACUGGGCGUAAAGCGCACGCAGGCGGUCUGUCAAGUCGGAUGUGAAAUCCCCGGGCUCAACCUGGGAACUGCAUUCGAAACUGGCAGGCUAGAGUCUUGUAGAGGGGAGUAGAAUUCCAGGUGUAGCGGUGAAAUGCGUAGAGAUCUGGAGGAAUACCGGUGGCGAAGGCGGCCCCCUGGACAAAGACUGACGCUCAGGUGCGAAAGCGUGGGGAGCAAACAGGAUUAGAUACCCUAGUAGUC